ACAGCGGCAAACAAGUCCCAGAAGGGCAGCCACAAGGAUCGACGAGAGAUGGUUCAAUAUGAUGACGACUUUUUACAGUAAACCGUUUUCACGCAAUUCUUUUUCGGCAAUAAAAUCAUUAUAAAAACUCAGAACCAAGCAAUAUAUUAAACGACAAGCAUUGUACAAAAAGUCUGCCAAUUAUUCACUAAAAACAUAUUGAAAUUUAAAAAUCACUGCUGCAGCAUAAAGCUUGUUUUGUAUAAGCGUUUACAAAGGA